rnacentral:sRNA from 1 species
UUGAAUGGACAGAUGGAACUCCAUUUAACUUUUCGCGAUGGGCACCAACUAAACCCAAUGGCUUAUCAAUUGCUGAAGAUUGUGUUGAGCUGUACCACAAUGGACUUUGGAAUGACAUUAAUUGUUACACAACCAGGCCAUACAUUUGUGUCAAGAAAUUAGGAUCAACAACCAUUCGACCAUUUAUG